UGAGAAUUUAUGGUUUGUAGGGCAUGAC
rnacentral:piRNA from 1 species